CUAGUUUGGGAGUGAGGUGCUUAAAAAAAAGCACCUAUGAAAAAAAGCUGUUAGGGUUUUAGGUGUUUGGUAAACUGAAAAAAAGGGCUUAUUUUGGAAGCUGCUGUGAGAAUAAGCUGAAAUCAAAGGAAAAAGCUGAAGUUGCUAUUUGCAGCUUUGGAAAACUGGCUUUUUUUCAAAGCACACGGGGCUACAGUGCUCCUUUAAAGAAAAGACCCACUAUCAGACUGCUUUUUUUUCCAAAAGCACUUUUACAAAAAAGUUUACCAAACGCUCUGCUGAUUUAUUUCACAGCCGCUUAUUCUCACAGCACAGCCGCUUAUUCUCACAGCAGCUUUUUUUCAAAGCACAGCAAUACCAACCAGCCCUUCUUCUCCUCCUUUACUGCACUGUGAUAAUAUAUCUGCCAUGGCAUUAGCAACAAAUCCUAUUUUUCUCUCAAAAGCCAAACAUAUUGAAGUUGAUUGUCACUUUGUGCAUGAACGUGUUCAACAAGGAACCUUUUCUCUCCAAUUUGUUGCUUCUGCAGAUCAACAUGCAGACAUGUUCACUAAAGGCUUAUGUUCUCCUUUGUUAACACUCAUUGUUCCAAUCUUAUGCUUGCUUGUUCUCAGCAUAAGAUUGAGGGGGAAUGUUAGAGUAUAAGGUUGAAUAGAUUGUAACAAGUGUCAAUUGUAAAAGAGUGUCAUGUGUCAGUUUGUUAUUGAGAUCUUGAUGUCAGAUGUUAGUUAUACUGUGAGGUAUUUAUAUUGUAGUAAAAAUAGGUAUUCAUUUAAUGAAAACAAAAGUUGAUAAGUCGGUUACUACUUUCUCUCUCUAUUUUCUUGUGUAUUAUUUCUCUCUCUAAGAUUUCUUAGCUGCGUUGAUAUUGUUUAUGGUUCAGUAUAGACUGAAGAGGACCCUAAAACAAACCAAUGGUUUUAUUUUAGUGCAUCAAUAUUUUUCCACUAAAGGAAGGGGAAGUUCAGCAAAGCCACACAAUGGGUAGCGUAAUUUGAUAUUGAAUUCGCCAUCUACGAUAUUCGAACCUAAGACAUUUUUUAAGUGAAGAUGAAUACUACCAAACCGCUGUAAAACAAACCAAUGCAAAGUAGUAGUACUCAGUUCAGAUUAACGAUCAUAUAUCAAUUCAAGAAUGUUAUUUAACUCCGACAGAUCCACGAGAGAAUAUAUCCAUACAAAGAGAGACCGUUGUAUCUAUAUACCUCAUGCCGACCCUCUUUACAAGUUUUUCUGCAAAUUUUACACUGCAAAAGUGAGAGACCAUUCACCUUUCUCUUCUAUACAACUCGACAGCUAUCAACGCAGCAUUGACGCUGAGUUUGCAUGUGUCUCUCUCUCCAUUCUGUUGCAAUAGUCACCAAGAGUGACAAUUUCUCUGAGCGUAUCACACUGCACAAGUCAUUCACCCGAGCUUGAGAGGUGUUCGUUUACGGAAGGCCACGAUGUGGAGGAUCACGAAGAAAGAAAUGAGCCAAGUGUCGGCUCGGCGGCGGUAGCGGGAGGCGAAGAAAGAGAGCUUGGGUUCUUGGAGAGUUUCGGGAGCUGAUGAGGCUUGAUGUCGAUCUGGGUCUGAAGCUUCGAUCGGUCGGCGGCCAUUGUCGGUUGCUCUCUUUCUGUCAGCAAGAAUGUGGGGAUAUGGGGUAUUGGGGUUUUCUUGGAGAAGACGACUCAGUGGUUUCCAGCUGUUAUGCGGUUGGGCUCUGGCGGGAAGGCUCUCUGAACCGUUUUUGUAGCGUGCUUAAAGAGUUGAAACGACGUCGCCCAGGAUUUAAACUUAGGAUUUUGGGCAUUAAUAGAAGAUGAUUAAUGACCGGAUCCGUGGCGCAAUGGUAGCGCGUCUGACUCCAGAUCAGAAGGUUGCGUGUUCGAUUCACGUCGGGUUCAAUACCCUGUCCCGGUUUUUUUUUUGUUAUUUAUUUUGGUUGGUACUAUAAAAAUAAGUAAAAACUCCCCACUUGUUUUUCCCCAAUUUCCAUGAUAUAAUUAGUUGCAUUCUCCUAAAUCUUUUAAAUUAUUAUUUUACAAGAAUUAGUGUUUUACGAUGCUAUUUGAUAUAUAUAAAAAUAAAAAUAAACACACAUGAGUAUUUUCUAGAGAAGCACAAGCUAGACGAUUUUUUUCAAAAUUGUUCACUCUUAUCAAAGAUAACAUGUUUUUAAAUAUAAUUUAAAUUUUUGAUAUUCACGUUUGAAUUUUAAAUAAAUUUUGUGCUAUCUUGUGUACUAUAUACAAUUUUACAUAAAACAUCUAAAGAAUAUGACAAAAGUCCAUACUUGAGAAAGUUAUGAACUUUAUUCGCCCUUAAUAUGUUUUUCUUUUGGAAUAAUUAGGACUCAAACUUAAAAAAAUCGCCAAUUCCCUUUUAAUGUCUAAUUUCUACUCAUUUCAUCCUUUUUUUUAGUACAUCGAUAUUUUUACACUAAAGGGAUUGAGAGUUUGGCUAAAUUACAAAAUGAGUAGCCUAAUUUAGUAUCGAGUUCAGCAUGUACCACUUAGCCUAAACCCUCAUUUCAUCCAAAUUUUAGAUUAAUAAGUCAGCAUGUACCACUUAGCAAUGUCCUGUGCUUUUUUCCUUUUAGAAUUUUUGGUGUCUUUGAUGUAUUGUAGACGUUUUCAAUGUAACUAUAAGUUGAAUCAAUAAAUAUUAGUCUGUAUUAAAAAAAAUAGAAAAAAAAAUUACUCAACUAAAUUAUUUUUGUUUUUUCUUUAAAAAGGAAAAUAACUGGUGACGAACCAUGAUUAUCCACCAUUUUUAGGUCUUGCAAAGUAUCGAACUCAGUAACUCUUUUUUUUUUCUUUAGGGAGCAGUCACUCACACUUUACCAUUGGAUCACUUGUCUUGGUUUCUCACUUAUAAGUAAAGAGAAAUACAAAUCAUAGUAUUAAGAGGAAUACCAAUAAAUUAUUUUUGGACUAUUUUACUACAACACUCACACACCCAACACCACAUCAAACCCUAUGUUUAAAAAGUGGGAGCAUUUUUGCCCACUAUCAUGACUAUACUGUAUGCUUAUCAUACACUUAAUUAUUUCUCAUGUGUCUUUUCACUUAACUUUAGUUCACUUUCACAUUAAAUACUACUUUGCAAUUUUGAAAAAAAUUAAUCAAGGUUAAUUGAAAUGAUGCGUGACAAAUGAUUAGGUAUGUGAUGAGUAUACACCAAAAUUUAGGGUGGCGAACAAUGUCCUAUGCUUUUUUCCUUUUAGAAUUUUUGGUGUCUUUGAGGUAUUGUGGACGUUUUCAAUGUAAGUAUAAGUUUAUUCAAUAAAUAUUAGUGUGUAUUAAAAAAAAUUGAAAAAACUUACUCAACUAAAUUAUUUUUGUUUUUUCCAAACAGAGAGAUAGCGAACUAUAAUUAUCUACCAUUUUCGGAUCUGAAAGAAUUAAGUUGGGAGUUGCACUUUAUUUGUGGUCACGAUCAAGCAGAUUCACAUCUUACAAAGUAUCGAACUUAGAACCUCUCAUUUUUUUUCUUUAGGGACUUGUGGUUCGCACUUUUUCAUUGGGCUACCUGUAGUAGUUUCUCACUUAUGAUAAAAAGAAAUAUCAUCAGAUCGUAAUAUUAAGAAAAACACGACCAAAUUACUUUUUUUUUUUUUUUGAAGAAUUGAGUUUAAAAUAGAAACCCAAGGCUAAGAAGCCAAACAGAAGCAAGAGAGCCUACGACGAGGCAAACACAACGAAACUAAGCACCAAGCAAAGCAGUGAGCAGGGAUACAACAACCGACACAAUCCCUAAGAGAAAGUGUCACCCCAAACCCACCACAACCUGCUAAUGAGGACAAGGAAGACCAUCAUUACAUAAUACAUGAACUAACGAAGAUGGGGGUCUGUCAACCCACACAAAAUCACACAUCUCCGUAAGACCAGCUGACGCAAGAACAUCCGUUGCCAUAUUGGCUGAUCUUGGAACCCAAGACCAGCGACAGUUCUGGAAAGCCGAUCCCACCCUUUGAGCUCUAGCCAAAAUGGGGAAAGCCUCCCAACUGCCAUUUUCAAGAGAACCAUUUAAACAGGAAAUAGCCUGAAAAGAGUCAGAUUCAAUGAUAACAGAGCUGAAACCCAACGAGGCACCCAAUUCACAGCCACGCAGAAUCGCAAAAGACUCAGCCACAACAGAAGAAGGAGCCAAAAUAGAAGACCUUACCGCUGCCAUAAACCGCCCACCAUCCUGCCUAGCAACCACCCCCGCAAAACCCAUCCGCGAAGAAUUAGACCAACUAGCAUCCACAUUAAUCUUAACAAAAGGAGAAGAAGGAGGACACCACCUGACUGCAACAGCCUCCCGAGAAACCGAGACAGGCCGAGCAAUACCCGAAGAAGACACAGCAAGCAAAAAAUUCCCGAAAGCGAUCGACAACGAAAAAAUAACCUUAGAAUGGCUGAUUGGAACCUGAUUAAACACAUAAUCACAGCGAGCUUUCCAAAUGAACCAGUUUGGACCAUAUUACUACAACAACUCUGGUCACACUUACACACCCAGCCAGCCAGCACCAUAACAAAAUCAAGCCCAUCCCUCUGCCCCCAAGAAACAUCCGAACACCGCCGCUUCAAUUUUGAGGUUUCUUCGGUUAUCUUCUCAAUUUUAUUUUUAUUUUUAUUUAAUUGUGGUGCUGUUUAAUUUUUAUUUAAUUUUGUUCACAUUGACCUUGGAUAUUUUACCCUCCACUGUAAAAAAAAAAUAAAAAUACUAAUGAAAAAGGUAUAAAAACUUUAAAUUUUAAUGAUAAUGAUAAAAUAAAAGGUAAAAAAAAUAGUAAAAGAAUUAAUUUUUUAAUAUAAAAAUAUUAUUUUUCGUUAAAUUAAAAAAAAAAAAAAAAUUCUGGUCACAGGGGAGCAGCAUCCACAGAGUAUAUCACCCUGCAAAUCAAUAAAUAUGCCAUCUUUGGUAAUACGGACUUCUGGAUUAGACUUAUCUGAUAACAUUGCAGGUACUUUUUGAAGGCAGGUUAUGCUGUUAUCUUUCUAUAUCGAAGGUAAUUUCUGAUUCUACCAUUUUACAUAUCAUUUGGUCAUUUCAACGACUUAACACGAUAGAAGAGAAUUGUUACUAAACUUUUUGGAUUAUUCCACAAUGUUAUGCAGGGGUACUUGCCAGCCAUAUUGCAGAUCACUUCCCGCUGAUCCUUUGCUUGAAUGUUUUGAAUAUACGGAUGACUCAAAUAUUAACGGUUUGUAGUUCUUGUUUGCAAAAUGAUUAUAUGUGUUUUUUCUCUUUCUAUGUAGAACAAAAAAUGGACAUGGAUGACGGAAGAGAAACUUAUGUUUCCUCCUCUCUGGUUUAGGGAUCAAGAAUGAUCUUCUUGAAUACCAGUACAUUAGCAACAAACUACUUCUACCUUGAGAAAAGGCAUGAGAUAGAAACAGAGUCAUUGUGCAAUGGAUAUUUAAUUACAUUUCUCAAAUAAGUAAUAUUCACGUCCUAGCUGACAAUGAGUCUCUUACAAUCCUUAAAGGCAAGUAAUAAGCUUUUGACUCCUUGACGGCAAAUAGCUUUUGAGUACUGGUUGAUUCUUGACUAUUGGAAUUAGAGCCAACCGCAACGUGCUGGUUAAAGUUCCAUAAGAUGCUAGUGGCUUGAUUAAAAUGCCUAGGCAUACAUGCGCGUAGUGCUAAGUCAUUAAAACUCUUAGAUGAGUGAAUAUACCCAAAAGAAGAGUGUGAUUGGUCUAGUGUCAUAGAGUAGGCUGAUUUAACUCAGCUUAGAAAGCAGGCUGGAAGGUUACAUCCAAAAGGUUAGAGUAAUUAAGCCUUGAAGACUCUAGCUUUUGAGGAUCAAUUCAGAUUGCUGUUCUUGAGGAAAAAACCAAGAACUCAAUUAUCAGAGGAAAACCAAGCUGUUUUUGUCUGCAUUAGUAAUAGAGAUGUCAAACUUUCUGCUUGUCAUGUACAUUGAUGUUCCAUCUGUUUUGACAUGUUUAGUGUGAGUAACUAUGAUAUUAGAUUUUUGUAUGCUAUUAUAGGAUUUUAUUGUAGAGUUUAAUUAUCGGAGUUGGUUUUGGGCUUGAUUAUUGGGUUUUGGGGAGAUGGGAGACAGGAAUGUUUGAAGUUUUAUUUGCAGCUUUGUGGUGAUGUUCGAAAGUUAAAUCUGACAAUAGUAUACAUAUGUUUGACAGUUCUUAUUGAGGUGACUAAAUCUUGUAUUAUAUUUCCAGUGUGCCAGUCACAUUCGGAAGCAGUGAGGAAUGCCAUCACUCGAAGUCAUGCCGUACGAUCACUUAUAUUUAUCUUUCUUUGAGUAUUAUAUGUAUUUACUUAUUGCAUAUUUUUACUUCCUUUAUAUGUGGGGAUUUAUUCUGUUGCAGGCAGUAGCAGGAGGCCUCUUGUUAAAACUUCCCUUCACAACCAUAUUUGAGUAUCUUCAGGUUCGCUUCAGUUGGUUAUUAACUUCCCUUCACAACCAUAUUUGAGUGUCUGGUUGUUUUAGAUAUAACAGUUAUCCUCCUAUGCUUGACUAAUCUGUCUUUGCGUUUUGGGCAGAUGUUGCAGAUGAUUGCUUUUUCAAUAAGAAGUCUCGGGCCACAUGCAAUUCUUUACCUUGCAGCUGCACUGUCUGACUUUUAUGUUCCUUGGAAAAGCAUGGUAAUGGUUUAAUGUAUUGAAAAGUUAUGUCAUACAUGCUCUGGCUGCAUUCUGUAACUCAAUCGACAGAUAACAAAAGCUACCCCUUUUAGAAAUUGCUAGAGGACAUAUUUUUUCCUCGAUAUUCCUUGAAAUGCGUAGAAAUGACUAGAUUAUGAAUUUUAGAAGCUUGAUAGCGUUUCUUUAAGGGCUUAUAUAUGAAUCUCUGCAGUUAGAUAACAUAAUCCAGUCCUUUACAAAUUUAUACAGGACAUGUUUAUGAUCACAAUAUUCCUCUGAAUAUAUAGGAAUGGGUUGACAUAUGAAUCUUGGAUGCUUAAUUAAUCGCUUGUUUGAAUGAAAAAACUGUUAUAUAAGGAGAUUAGUGGUCCGAAAGUUGCUUAUGAAAUAAAGGAAAAAGAAUCCUAAUACUCCAUCUUGUAUCGUGUAUAAGUUUCAUCCAAGUCUAAGCGUUAGCCGCACCAUUUCUUAGCAAAGCAUGAUUGUGCAGGCAGAACACAAAAUUCAGUCAGGAUCUGGUCCGUUGGACAUGCGACUUGUUCAGGUGCCAAAGAUGCUAUUAGUGCUGAGGAAAGACUGGGCACCAAUGGCCUUCUGUAUAUCAUUUAAGGUUUGAUAGAAGCUUCUGCUUAUUUCUAAUUACUGGCAUUUCCAUUCAUUAGUUCACUUGCUGCACUUUAGCGGAAGAGCUAUUUUUUUACUUGCAUCCAUAGACUAUCUAUACGAUAAUUUUUUAUUUUUUAUUUUUUAUUUUUUGGUCGAGGGUUGAGGGCGUGGCUGGGUAGCAGUAACCUGAAAAUGACAUAUUUCUGGUGGGGGCUUUUCGUUUAACAGAUCUUCCUCGACAUGCAUGAUGCAGUCAUAUAUGUGUACCUCUCAAUAAUCAAAAUCAUACCCCCUACCCUUACCUUUGUCAUAUAAUUCUGCUAAAAGUUUUUGACAGAUUACAAGAUGCAGUAUUACUUUUUGGACUUAAAAACCUUUGACAUGCUUGCCUAAACAGCUAGAGACGGAUUCGAAGAUUCUUUUGGAGAAGGCUGAUAUGGCUCUUAAGAAGUACAAGGUACAUAUGAUUGUAGCAAAUGAGCUUUCAACCCGCAAGGAAGAGGUUGUAGUUGUCAGACGCAAUGAAAAGAUAUCAGUUCGCCGAAACCAGUCCCUGGGCGUUGAUGAUGUGGAGAAACCACUUAUUGACCUUAUCGUGGGAAGACAUUCGGCUUAUCUCGAGAAUCCUGAUUUAUGAUGAGUAUGCUUGAUUUCAUCCGACAGCGGACCAGUGCAACAAACAGUUCCUAUUCUGUUCAAGGUAGCAAUAUUUGGUUGGCUUUCACCCAAACUUUCGUUUGCCUAUCGUAGAAUGUAGCUGUUUUAUGUCAGCGUAGUACGUUCGAGCAAAAGAUUGCAGAACAAUUUUGCUCUUGAAAGCAAUCAUAUUACUUGUACUUACUUUUGAUGCAGAGACCUUCUGGUGAACUUUUGAAAGAUGUAUUUGAAGCAUAUCAACACAGGUGCACGAGAACGGAUGCACUGAUAUAAUUAAAUGGGAUUUUUUUCAUUAAUUUCUAUAAAUUUCUUCAACGAAAGAUAUAUACAGGUUAAUUUUUCUCUCGUUGUUGAAUAUAAGUAUGGACGGAUUUGUCUUCAGCGGCCAUUACAAAGUGUAUUCUAUAGUACAAAUUACACUGUCAGAAGCCAAAGAGUAAAUCUUGCUCUACCGUUUUUCUUCGUCCUGUGUGUCGAGCUCAAGUCCCUCUGCGGCUAAAAGCUGACCGAUGAGCUUUUUCUUGUCUUCCUCUGCUUUCUUUCGCAUUAGGUCCCUUUUCUUUAAGACUAGUGUGUGUCGCUUGAGGGUACUGGAGAAAUACUCUGCUGAGGCCUUUUUUUCUCUUGCCAGGAUUCUCUUCUCUUCAUCUGGGUCAACCUGGACGUCAAAUACAUUGAUCUUAGGCCAUAAGACGAGAAACCCAGCCAAAACAAAAGAACACAAAAGCUUUAUUAUAAUUUCAAACAAUAGAUCACACAGAGAAGCACGAGCUUCUGAACAUAGUGUUUGAUCAGUAAUGAUAAGAGACAAAUCGCCGUCGAUGUUUUGUGCAUCCGGCAAAAGGCAGAGCUUUGCAGCAUUUAUCAAACCGUUAGAAUAGAGAAAUUCCAUUUUUAUUUCCUAACUACCGAAACUAUUCUUCACAGCUGAUUCGUGUACUAGGAGAAUGAUUCUAUACCUUGGAACGAGAAAGUCGACGUGCACGAAUAUUCAUCUCACGCUGCUGUUGCUCUUGCCAAGCAGCUAUUGCCAUAUCACCUCGCUGAUCAAAAGCUUUUCGCUUCUUUAUUAGCCACUCCAUCCAUGCUUGAGAUGCCUGAUAUAACAGUGCACACAAAGAUUCCGUUACUAAAAAAAAAACAAGCUGAUCUGUAUACAAAUCAUGAAUCUACUCUACAUUUUCCUGUAUCUAUCCUAAAAAUAUAAGCAAGAAACUACAAGGCAACUUAUAUGCAAACUACAAAUCUUACUUUCAUUGGGUUGAGUCGGUUAUCCCUAUCAUAUUGUCCCCUCUUCUCGUCAUCCAUGAGCAACUCAUAAGCAGCUUGAAUCUUAAUAAAUCUAGCUUCAGCUGUUUCCCCCUCCUCUAGAGUCCCUCUACCAUCAUAGACUUGAAAACGGAAGAAUACUAGAUCAAUUUUGAACGUUCAAGCAAAAGCCAAUAGACCAAAGGAAAUGGCACAAAAUAUUAGGAAGAGCACAUUUACUGAUAAUCUAACUUUUUUACACAUAGAAACCAAUACAUGCAGCAAUCUAACACAAAAGGAAAGACGAUAAGCAAUAUGCCUGAUAUCAGUUAAAAAAAAAAAAUCACAUGAAAAUUAAACCACGCUUGGAGACUAGAAUUGGAUUCGAGGUAUAUGAGGGAAGACAUGGAGGCAAACUUCAAAAUUUGACAAGUUGAAAGAAUAAGAUAGAUUAGUCAGAAACCUUAUCCCUCCUUCAACUUGGACAAAAUUUGGAAUGGCCUUCAUUUCUUACUCUAGUCAGUUAUCCAAUUCCAAUUCUAGGCCGCAAAUGCAGCCGUAAGGAAUAAAAACAACUUCCAAUGUCAUAAGCCCUUUUGCACAAUAACUUUGUUGCACACAAAUUGCAAAGAUUCUUCAAGUUGAAAUUAAUGACGAUUUUACUGAAGGGUUUCACCAUAUUAAACCAACAAUUGUUUACAUACAUUAUCUUAUUACAAAAUGUUUCUUUUGAUUUGUGAUUAACUGAUAACACCACUAGCAAAGUAGCAAAUUACAGAUAUGAAAUCGAAAAAUUCGAAAAGAAUUUCGAAACAAGACAAGGGAGCAUACCAUCUGGAUGAUAGAACUUGGCCAACCGUCUGUAAGCAAUCUUUAUCUGGUCAUCGUCAGCGUUCCUCUCUAAUUCUGAUUUUCAAAAAACAAAAUCCAAAAAUUAGAAAGUUAGAGACAGUAAAAAUGUUAGAAAUUCCAGAUUUAAAAAAAAAAAAAAAAUCAAACGUUGAAGCUUUAUCCAAUUACCAAGAGUUUCGUAGGGAGAUUUGGGAUGGUCCCAACUGGAAGCCCUAACCACCAUCCUUCUCUGAUUGACCCGGGACCACCCGCCCCAAUUCAAUCUCGCAAAAUCGGACACCCGCGGAAAGCGAGGACUGCAAUUAGGGUUUCGAAAUGAAACCCUAGAGCCGAAGCGAGCUUGGUGUCUGCAACACACGAAGGACGUGAAGACCGUGUGCGGCCGACAGAUGGUUCUCAAAUUGCUCAUUGUUUUGUUCUAUUCGGGUACUAUCUCAGCCUGUCAGAUCGGAGAUCCGACGGAUUUGGAAAGAAUUGGUCACAAUCAAAUUGGAAAUGGAAAUUAGGGUUUUCAAUUUGGGCUGCGAAGGUUGAAGGCGUCAAGGAAGUGGAAAGGUUCUGAACUUCUGAUAAUGAAUAUUUUUCAGAAUCUGACUGAAUUUGGGUUUUUUUUUUCAUUUUUUUUUCAUUUUAAUUUGUAAUUUUGGUUUUUAUAUUUUCCCCUUUUAUUAUAUUUUCCACGGGAAAUUUUUGUGGACAGACAGAGGCUUCCUGCAGCAUGACAGUUAGGAUCUUGGACUUACCCGCCAAAAGUGAAAAUAAAAAUAAAAACAGUACCCCAAAACUAUGGUAUUUUACGAAUUAUCUUUUAUUAUGUCAAUCUAUAUUAUGGGUUAGCCAUAAUAAUUUUGUUUACAAUAUACUAUUGACGAGAAUCGAAUUUAAGACAUGUCACUUACAAUGACGAUGAAUACAACUAUAUUGUAAUACUAAAAUGACAUGAUAAUUGUUAUUAAACUAUUGACCAAGAAUGCACAUUCAAAUAUAAUUUUUCAUGUAUACAUACGUCUACUCUCAAAGAAAUUUUUUUUCUAUCACAGUUGUAUGCCCUAAUUGUAUAUGUAUCUCUUUUCGCAUUACACAAAAGAGUGUUUCGUACAACUUCAACUAAGUAUUUCUCCUAAUCCUGCAUGGCAUUUCAUGUUCAGAGUUCAAUUUUUGAGCUCAAAAGCGGAACUUUUAGCUGGACUUAAAAUUGUGGAUCUAAUGUUCAAAAUAAUCAGGCAAAGUUUAAUGUUCAAAAUAAUCAGGUAAAGUUCCCAAUAAUAUAAGAAAUGAGGUUAAAAUAUAACUCAACAAACCUUGAUAUUUCAGACUAAUUUACACAUUUAUUUAGUGUUAAUAACUUAAUAUCCCUCCCAUUUCAAUCAAACUAGUAUAUGCAACAAGCAUUGGACAAUGGAGAUUUGACUUGAAAACCUAUAUGUGUGUUUUGAAUUGGUGACACUCAAGCACUAAACUUCUUCAUAUUUACACCUUCUGUAAUAUAUGUAUCAAUGGAGACUAGGUGGUAGCUAACUGUUGGUUCACCGCGGCGAACGGUCCAAAGAAAAUCGAGGGCACGUAGCCGGUGAAAGUCCUCCCUCAAUGCAAGCAAGCCUCGCGCUGCUUGGUGCCCGUUGUUUAGGAUCUAAGACAUUUUCUGCAAAGUUUCCUACCGGAGAUGAUAUUCUCAGAAAUUGUAAUAUACUUCAUUAUCAUUUGUUUACAAGAGGGAAGUCCUCUCAUAUAGAGGGCCAAAAACUACAUAACUAGUCCUAACAAGUGGACAAGCCAAAUGAUGAUUACAUGAGGAAAACAUCGAAGAGGAAAAUAAGGAGAAAAGGAAUUCAAAGCAAAGUAAUGAUGACUAAACACCGAGGAGGAAAAUAAAGAGAAAAGGAAUUCAAAGCAAAGUAAUGAUGACUAGCUAUAAAGUAAAGUAAUGAUAGCUAGUUAUAAAGUAAAAUAAUGAUGACUAGCUAGAGGAAUAAUUACAAGUCUAUUAUCUAUACCAAUAAUGUCUAGCAGCAGCUGUUGUUGACACUCCCCCUCAAGUUGGUGCAUAGAUGUCAUGAAUGCCCAACUUGCUUAGUGAGUUGUGAAAUACUGAACUUGUGACUGCUUUGGUGAGCAUGUAUGCUAAUUGAUCUUCAAAUUUAACGAAUUGAACUUCAAUAAGUCUUGCCUUAAUUUUUUCUUUAAUAAAAUGUGUAUCCACCUCCACAUGUUUGGUUCGAUAAUGUUAAACCGGAUUGUGAGCAAUGUCAAUUGCAACCUUGUUGUCAUAAUGUAGACGCAUAGUAUGCUUGGGCCUAAAUCCCAAAUCUCACAAUAAAUUCUUCACCCAAAGCAGUUCACAUACUCCAUGUGCUUCAUUGGAAACACCCAAGUCAUUCUAGUACAGUCAUCUAUAAAUGUCACAAACCAUUUAAAUCCAGAAGUUGUAAGAAUUUUGGCAGGACCCUAAACGUCAAAAUGAACGACCAUGAAUGGCACAGAACUUUUAUUUAAUCUUAAUGGAUAGGAAACACGAUGACUUUUGGCCAAAAUACAAAUUUCACAAUGGAAAUUGGAUUAUUUGAAUUAGGGAAAAAGUUCAGGGAAUAAAAGUUUAAGAUAACCAAAUGCGGAAUGUCCUAAUCGCCUGUGCCAUAACCAAAUCUUCUUCAUUCGGGUUGAUUCAUCUCUGCUUACAUGAUGCACUUGACUUAAUCUAUUGCUGCAUUCUUCCGUUAAGUCCAAAUAACAUAGUUUGCCCCUUCUAGUACCACAACCAAUCACGGCCCUAGUGAGCAGAUCUUGGAAAAGACAGUAUAGUGGCAAAAAAGAAACAGAACAAUUAAGGGAGUCAAUAAUUUGAGAAACAGAUAAAAGAUCGUAAUCUAGGGAUGGUACAACUAGGACAUGAUCAAGAUUGAGUGAGGAAGUUAGUGAAAGAGAGCCUUCUCCAGUAACCGGAGAGAUUGAACCAUUGGCAUUGGUAAUGAAUGUCUGGUUGGCUGUUUUUAGUAAGUGAAAAAUGUUAGCAUCGGAUGUCAUGUGAUCUGUGGCACCUGUAUCAAUAAUCCAUGAUCUAUUACAAGUAUUAGCGGAUGUAGAAUUAGAUAUACCUGAGGUGUUCAAGGCUUUUGGGACAUGGUCAGAUGAGCUAACAUCUUGAGAAGACUCAGAGGUGGUGAAUGAUGCUCUGCUGGAUUCCUUAUUUCGUCCUUUGUGAACCCAUCCUUCUGGAUAGCCAAUAAUCUCAUAACAACCUUGAAUAGUAUGAUUUUUCAAUUCGCAUUUGGUGCACUGCAUAGGUGGUCGAUUACAAAAUCGAUCAGCUGUUGAGGAGUUUAUGUUUUGAAGUCGAGGUCCUUGUGGAGAUCGAUAAUUUGUGGUAAAGAGCACAAUAGCUUCAGGCAUGGUGGCACUUUCUGACAUGGUUAAUUGUCGAUUGCUUUCACGUUUGACAUGAGAGUAUGCUCCUUCAAGACCAGGUUUAGGCUCUAUCCUCAAAAUCUCACCACGAAUUUGAUCAAACUUGUUGUCUAAUCCUGCAAGAAAAAUAUAGACUCAAAGUUGCUCAAUUUCUUGCUGCCUUAAUAAGAUAUCAUCUGGGUCCUUCAUGUUAGUAGGACUAAGUUGAUCAAGUUCUUGAAAAAUGUCGAUGAGAUUGCUGUAAUAGUUAGCAAUAGGAGCUCCAUUUUGCUUCAUGGUAAAUGACCUUUUAUGAAGAUCAUAAAUGGCUUCAUCAGAGCCAUCUGAGUAAGUCUUUUUUAUGGUAUCCCAUACUUGCAUGGUUGUGUCGUAACAGAUGAACCGCUUCAUCUAAUUGGGUGUCAUAGCAUUAAAUAACCAACUUUUGACUUAGCAAUUUUCAGCUCGCCACUUGUUAUACAGUGGGUCUGUGAUUGCAGGCUGCUUGGUAUCACUGGAAAGAUGCCUAUGUUUUUCUCGACCAGCAAUUUUCAUCUCUAUGACUUGAUGCCAUAGAGAAUAGUUGUUCUCAUCAAGUUUAAUUCCUGCAGAGAAAUUGGAAUUGUCAUUUUGAAUGGUGACCACUUAUGUGGUGGAGUUUGAUUCACCUGGUGCGAAGGACUGAAUUGGUAGGUCUGAUACUUCAUCAUCAUUAGCCAUUGUAUAGGCUUAAGAUCAAUAAAGUUGAAAUAAAAAUAAAACUGAUAUGAUGAUUGAGAUAUGAUAUGGCGAAAGCUUUUUUUUUUCUUUCUAUUUUUGAGGUUCAAGAGUUAGUCAUGAUCGACUGCUCUGAUACCAUCUCAGAAAUUAUAAUAUAUUUCAUUAUCAUUUGUUUACAAGAGGGAAGUCCUCUCUUAUAGAGGGCUAAAAACUACACAACUAGUCCUAACAAGUGGACAAGCCAAAUGAUGAUUACAGGAGGAAAACACCGAAGAGGAAAAUAAGGAGAAAAGGAAAGCAAAGCAAAGUAAUGAUGACUAGCUAUAAAGUAAAGUAAUGAUGACUAUUUAGAGGAAUAAUUACAAGUCUAUUGUUUAUACCAAUAAUGUCUAACAGCUAUUGUUGACAGAUAUGCCUGCAGCUUUGGACAAGAGCAACGUAUACAGUUCAACAAAGUAACAAGGAGUCCAUUGUCACAGUGGUAGUUGAUAAUACGAUAAUCUAGAUGGGAAUACGUAUUUACUGCUUUAUGCUUAUUAACAAUUUCUCACCUCAUCUAAGUUUUAGUUCAAUAAGUUCAAGAAGUUAUAUAGCAGAAUUAUAGUUAAUAUUAAAAUGCUGCAUUUUUAUAAGGCAAAUGUAAACAAAUAGAACCUGUUCCGAUUACAAAUUUUUAAUCAACACUAGAACUAGACAGGUACAAUAAACGACACCAAAUUUUGGUUUAUAUAUGACUUAUUCUCAGUUUAGAUCCUUAGCUCUAUUUGUGAUUAAAAAUUGGUAACUAUAUAUGUAGUUUGAAAACAUGAUUCUCACAUGUUUGACCCCAAAAAAGAAAAAGAAAAACAUGGUCCUUAUGAAGCCACAAAUUCCUCAAAACAAAUAACACAAAUAUUUGGUCUUUUUCAAAACCUGAAUUUCCUAAGAAUAUUUUAGUGAUAUCGCACACAACAGAUAUUUAUUUUUCAGCAUCACAUUUGCAUGAUAAUAAACUUUAUGCAAUUGCAUAAUAUUUAGUGGUAGAUGUUUAUUUUAUAUUGAUGGAUGACUGUAAACAAGGAACUCUAGUAACUUUGACGUAUAGGAGAAAAUUAAAAAUUCACUACAUAGUUAAGAUUCAGUCGAUUCACGAUAUGAUGAUCAUCGAAACUAACAUGUUAAUUAUAGAGAUCACUAGUGCUCAAACUUUUGUAACAAAAUGUUCGCAUCAAUUUUGAGCCAACUUAAAUUUGACCGUAAAUCACACAAACACAAGAACACACAUAUACUCUGGUUCACCCUAAAUUGGUGUCACAACCCGUCCUAAUUUUUUAUUAUCGAUGGCGUGAAUUGACUAAAUUACCCUUGGACGUUAGUUGGUGUUGUGGGUGAUAUGUUUUGGUUGUGGUCCAAUUCAUGUUAAGUCCUAAUUGUUUGGACCCAAUUAGAACUAAAUUUUUUCCUAGUUUGUGGUUGGUUGUUUUGUUGCCAACUAGGAUCACACACACUCACACACACCCAUACCCAUACCCGUUGACCUUUCUCUCUCCUCCCUCUCUCGGUUUUCAUCCAUUAUCCGUACAAUUGUACGGUCAACCUGUGAACCAAUCAAUUCUGGCACGGAUCAAGGUUUUGGAAGCCAUUUUCGUGCUUGUGAGCUUAGGAACCCAUCCAUACCUUUCAUUGGAUGUGAAGCCUUUGUUUUCCCGAGAAACCAAGAACCCCGAUUUUGAGCAUUGUUCAUGUGAUCGUAAUUGUGGACUUUUCAAGGAGUUUUGAGGUCCUAAGAAGCUUUAGAACAUCUUCACAAAGCUCGGGGAAGAAAGUUGGAGUGUUUUGGACGUCGGGAAGCUUAGUUUGACGAGUUUCAAAUUUUGGCCAGAUUAUCAAGGUUUCUCCGAUGAGAUCCCGUGGAUUUCAAGGCUUGAAAGUGGUAAGAAUGUGUUCUACUCACUCUAAGCCUCAUUUUGAGACAAAUUUCAUGGAUUUUGGUGAAAAAAUGAGUAAGGAAUGAAGGUUUGAAUAUUUUCCAAAAGCCAGCGAUCGCAGGGGCGCCGGCAACGGUUUCCGGUGAACCAAGGAAGACAAAGAAGAAUAUUCCAUCAAGUCUGACGGAAUAUUCUAACGGUGUCACGUAACGCCGUUAACUUUUAUUAAGGUUUUAACGGAAUAUUCCUAACGGCCGUUAGGCUCAAUUAGGGUUUGGUCGUGCGUGGGGGUGCGUCUGGUUGUGCCCUUACUGGCGGGUGGCGGCGCGUGGGUGGUCCAAAAAUUAUUUUAAAAAUAUGGGGAUGUUCAUGAGGUUGAGUAGAUCGUGUUGGUAUAUUCAAACACCCCAUUUGAGCAUUGUAUGAGAAGUUAUUAGCUAAUUUUGGUUGUGUGCUUUAAUUAAUGUUUAUUUAGUUAUUUUGCAUAUAGGUGAGACCUAUCCAGAGGACGAGCGCCAUCAAUCGAGGCUUAGGGGCUACGACCCUUCGACAUACCAGUGAGUGGGCUUUUGGUUUUCCGUAUAUACCUAUAUACUUGAGAUUUUUCCCAGAAAAUGAAUUUGAAUGAUUAUACAUUUUGAAAUGCCAUGCAAAGUAUCUGCCUAUUUUAUUUAUGCAUUAGUAGUUGCAUAUAUUUAUGAUUGGUGCUGCGGACGCACAUGUAAGUGCCAGGUAAGUUCAUAAAUUAAAGAUAUGAGAUUGCUUUAGUUAUGCGAGAUAUGAUGUGAUGCAUUGAGAGCUCAUAAACCUGCACCCCAGUGUUAGUGCUCCCGCCCAGAGUUAGGGCACAGUCCUUCACGUGAUGUUCAUCUCCCGCACCAUAUACUUACCUUGGAUCCAAGUUAGGUGCACAGGUUUGUCGUACAGACCAUUAUAAGUGGUUCCGACUCGUAGGUGACCCGCGAUCAUUCGCACAAUCUUCACGUAAUCGUAGCACUAGAGCAUAUUUAUUUUACACCUAGUCUUGUCGUACAUACCACUUUAAGUAGUUCCGACUUGUGUGCAGGAUUUGAUAUGAUUGAGAAUGGUUAUGAACUAUAGACUCAGCCGGGCAGGUCACGUUAGGUGGAUCCGGAUGAUAUGAUAUAUGGCAUUAAUAUAUUUUGACUGGAUUACUUAUAGCAUUUCAUUAAGAUACUUUGGCAUGGUAUAUUUCUAUGGAUUUUCAUUAUGAGCAUGAUUUAUGAUAUAGCAUAUAUUAUUUUUCUGGGAAAUAAUAUAGGUUUUAUGACGAGGGAUUAGCGUUUUUGAUAAAUGAAAUGAAUUUGAAAAGCUUUGUUUUUGCCCACUCACACUUUUUGUUUUGCGCCCCUCCAGGUUUUAGGUAAAAGUGCUUUGGUGGCUCAUGGGGAUUUUGACAGUGGUUCUGACAGAACAUCACAAAUGUAGGAUCACCUUUGGGUGUUGUAUAAUUAGUACUUGUCCAAUCGGACUGCACUUAGACUAUUUAUGCUCUGCUCUGAUUAUGUAUUUCACACUUAAUCUCGCACUAGCACCUUAUUUUAGCUACUACUUUUAGUAGUUUGGUUUUUAUUCAUUCGUAUUUCCUUAUAUCUCUAUUGCUUCCGUACUGUGCACAUGGCUACGUCACCAUCACGUGACGACCAGUAUGCCUCGAUCUAGGUCGGGGUGUGUCAGUUGGGGCUACAUUCACGUUAGUGAUCCAAGUUCACCAUGUAAAUAUAUGUUAUAAUGGGCAUAAAGGCUUUUUGCCUUUGAGAGAGUAAAUAGGCUAUAAGAGGCCAUCCCUAAAAUGAGGGUAAGGGACCCCUUUAUGGGACAAAGGCUUCCUCUUUGAUCGAAAAAACAAAAACCAAGGGCUUCCUCACCUCGUACAUAGGUUUAAGUAGUGAGACCAAACUAUGAUACAACAACUCUUAACCUGGCUGUUCAAGUAAAUAUUUCUCUGGAGAUGGAUCCUCGGACCUCAGCAAAACUCCCCAAGGGAUUAGCAUUUUGGGUGUAUAGUCGGGCUUUUACUUGUUGAUGUGCUACAAGAAGAGCACAAAGUUAGUUCUGAAAUGUGCAUUUGUGGGGCCUUAGGUGUAGGCCUUGAGGCUCGCAAUCAAAACUAACUAAGUGCUAGGCGUGCCUGCUCUGCCCCUUACUAUCUAGUGAAAAUAAUAGGGGGUCGUGUAACUCCGCUUCUAGGAUCUCCUCAAAUACUGGCUGACUAGCUCCAGAUCCUUCCUUGUUUUUUCCCUUAUCAUUUUUUUCUUCAAGCAAAGGAAAUAGGGGGAUAACUGGUUCUUUCUUAAGACUAGCCUCUCUUAUCACUUCCCUGGCAUAACCAUUUUUUGGAGUAGAGUACUCCAGAUCUAAUCUCAUUUGCAAACUCCCUAUUAAAAAACAGAGUCCACUUACUUCUCCUCUGGUUUCUAGCAUGAUCUUCUCCAUACUUUUCAGCACUUGUACAAUGGUGGCUUGCAAAUCUUCAUUGGUUACCUUCCUUCCUGACUUCUCGGAUGAAGUCAGGCUUUCUAGAAUAGCUGGUCCUUGUAGGGAAGGAAAAUCCUCUGGAUGAUUUGUCAUGCUUGAUCUUGGUAAACACUAGGGUGGCUCAUAUUCUGUGUUCCACUUGAAGGUUUUCUCCUUCAUUCUUUUUCAUGGCAUACAAGACUAAUGGAAUCCCAUUGGAAGUGCCAAAACUAUGUUCGGGCAAAGAUUUCUCUGGAGAUGGAUCCUCGGGCCUCAGCACAGCUUCCCAGGGGAUUGGCACUUUGGGUGUAUAGUCGAGCUUUUGCUUGUUGAUAUGCUACAAGAAGAGCACAUAGUUAGUUCUGCAAGGUGCCUUUGUGGGGCCUUAGGUGUAGGCCUUGAGGCUCGCAAUCAAAACUAACUAAGUGCUAAGUGUGCCACUGCUAUCUUAGUAUAGCAAAUGUAGAGCAAGUGUGUUUUAAGUCGAUUACUUGCGUUCCAAGUUACGCGGACUUCUUGUUAUCAAAGGAUUGUCGUGGAUGGCUUAAGUCCACAUUAAGUUCUCUUUCUUGCCUUGUAAACAAGGACUUUUAGUUCAUAGUCUUGUAUGUUCGAAUGAAGGGAGUCCAAAUCCCUUUAAGCCAUUUACGUGGUUCUUGAUUGAUUUUAAUGAUAACAUAUCCAUUAAACUAACCAGAUCCAUAUGCAAAUAAGACUCUUAAAGUAGGAAAGCAGGUCGAUAUGACUUGAAUACAUGCUGGAGAAUACAUUAAGUAAUAGAUCUACUAAUUUAGCAAACAAACAAAGAGCGUCGGACAAGAUUUCACCUUGUCUGUUAAGGUUGAACUUUCUUGCAGUCACUUCUCUUUGAAUUAACAGGGGUUUAUAUGCUAAAAAGGGAUGGAUGGUAAACAAGUUUACACAAGGGAAUCGAUACUAUACCACUAAGGGAGAUAACAGAGCUUUAAACUAGACAAGAGAUAGAUUGUCGCUAAAAAUGACUGAAUCUGGGUUGAUUUCAGCUUUUGGAUGCAAAUCUGGCUUGAGAGCAGAGUUUGUAUGCUUGUUUGUUUAAUUGGUUGAGUGUCCUUGUCUCUGGGGGCCUCUUCCUCCUUUUAUAGGCAAUUUAGCCUGACUGCUGCAACUUUGUUCUUGCCCGAAAGCGCUUAGAGGAUAGUGAGUCUUCAGCUUUUUACUUGGAAUGCCACUGGAAAGUAUUCUUUGGUUGGUAGUAGGUUAGUCUUCAUUACUUGUCACUUCAAAGGUAAGCACGUGGCUUGUAUUUGGCUGAAAAUGCUUCAAUUUGCCUUUGUGCUCGGUACUGGGUUUUGGGCAAGUCUCCUUUAAUUUGACACCCUUGGACUUUCCUUUAUCUAAGUCCAAUGUUCAAAUAUUAACCCAAACACUGGCACUCUCGGAAUUCCAACAGAUUUUUUUUGUGUUAUUUUUACCCUUCUCGUGAGAGAAAAUUGUUGGAUGCAACGGGUCCUCCUUGCAUGACUUAUGUGGAUAUAUUGUUCAGAAUCAUCAGGCCAUAUACAGGCAUAUAUAUAUAUGUAUAUAUAUAUAUAUAUAGAUAUAGAUAUAUAUGUAUAUGUAUGUAUGUAUGGCCACAAUCUAAUAACUCGACAAACCUUAAUACUGCUCACUACAACAGAUAAAGCGUUUUAGCGCGGAAAUGAUUCCUACCCUUAGAGAAACUUCGUAUAUGCUACAUUCAUUGGAGACCUAAUUUGAAAACCUAUAUGCAUAGGUAACGCUCCUGCACUAAGGUUCUUCAUAUUUACACGGUUACACCUUCUGAAACAGGGAGAUAUAAGUUCAUAAUAAUGGAACAAAGAAUACAUAUAACUACGGAGAAUACGUUGCAGCUGACUAUGUUGGUUUGCGGGGACGAGCAGUCCAUAGAGAACUGAGGGCACGUAACCGGUGAAAGUACUCCCCCAGUGCAAGCAAGCCUUGCGCUGCUUGGUGUGUCGUGAGGAUUCGAGACAUUUGCUGCAGCGUUUGCUGCCGAAGGUGAUCUGCCUGCCAUGGACAAGAGAAACAUACUUUCUACUUCAGCAAACUAAUUAACAAGGAGUCAACUGUCAAAAGGUAUUUCAUGCUUUAUGCUUAUUAACAAUUUCUCACCCCAUUGAAGCUUGAAUUCUUCAGUAAGUUCAUGAACUUAUAUAGCAGAAUCUAAGUCAAAUUGUGCUGAGGCAUUUUUAAGGGAAAACAGUUCGGUUACAAACUUUUAAUAAAAAAUAGAACUGAAGGGAAAGUGGGACACCAAACAGAGACUCAAGGGGCUCUAAAAGUGAGUUUAUAUACGGCUUAUGCAGUUAGUAACCAUUAUAUUUGUACAUAUUACCCAUAAUCUAAAUAUAAUUAGUGUUGAAUAUGCAAUUUCAUUAAAUCCCCAACACUAAUGAGAUUAAUUGCAAAAACCAUUAUUGGAAUCUGAUGCAUCACCUGGCUCAAGAAGCUCUCUAGUGCUUCAAGCUUCUCAAGUGCAGAAGCCAUCUGACACCCAAAACUUUCUCCACUCAUUUGAUCAGCUGCUAUGCUCAAUGCCAGAGCCUGCUGCAGUUUGUCCAUUCCCUGUGAUAGCGCAUCCUCCGCUUGCUGUGACGAUUGCCGCAGGUUACAGAAGUCCAGACGUUGUUGAUCAGUCAAUGGCUGAAGCUGUGGCAACACAAUCUGAAAAAGCGAAACAAUAUGCACCAUGUUACACAAUAAUAAAACCGUACAAUAACUCAACAGAAAUAAUGUGAACUCAGUUCAGCGUUACAUUUAGCAGCUCCGACGGGCGAAAUCCACCAAUCCAAUGAAAAUGGCGUUCGACUGAUGUUCUCCAUAUGCCAGACAGUAAGUAAAAGAUAUCAACCCUUGCAGCAUCUGCCUUCAUUCGGAAAAGAAUGGCAUAGUGGUUCAAGCCACAGUCUACGAGUUUUCGAAGUUCUAUGUCUGUUGCACGAUCAUUCAGUGCAUUUCUGAGCUCAACAAUUUGUCUGUGUUGUUCUUCAACCCAGUGUCCAUAUUCCAUCUCAAAUGUAGUGAUCCCUGCAAAGAUUUGCAGAUGGAAUUACAGAAUGGAACUAUAAUCACAAUAAUCUACGAGAAUCACUUAAAAAUUCUCAAAAAAAUACAAAAAUUGUGAUCAGGUCAUUAAUAUAGGGAGUUCAGAAUCACAAACCUGAAUUCAAAGCUCCAUUGUAUCCCAUAUGGCUAGUACCUAAUGAACUGCUUGCAUAGGCACCCUGCAAAUCAGGCAGUUACGGGUUCAUCCAAUGAUACUAAUUCGAUUCUGAUUAAUAAGGAAAUGCAUCGGGUAACAUGAACAAAGAUGAAAAAAGUUUCUUCUUUUAACUCACCUGUUUUCUAGCUCUGUCAAUUUCCAGCUCCAGCUGUGCCAAUUUUAAGCGGCUUGUUUCGAGUUGUUGAACAUAAGCCUGUGGUAGUACAAGAAAUCAUUCAAAUAAUUUCACAAGUUGUAGCAAUGAAAUAGACCAAUAAAUCAAGGCAUGUGAAUCCUACUCACCUUUUUUCGCAUACGACUCUUCCGUGCAGCUUCACGAUUUUGUUCUAACCGUCUCUGCACCUGUGUAUAUGUGCACUUCAUAAUCAACUUACACGAAAAUGAAUACAAAAAACAAAAAUUGCAUCGAUGAUAGUAUGAUCUUCUUUAUAAUUGAUGAGAUAAAUGAACAAAUAACAAAAACAUGACACAAAUAUGUUGCCUUGCUUGGAAAGAAAGACAGACAGACAGUAGGGAGAGCAAAGCUAUAUCACCUUAUCAGCAGAUCUGCUCGGUUCGUGAUCAUUUCCGUUUCCGGAAGGCAGCAUGGGUUCAUGAGAAACAAAUCCAAUCUAGAGGAAGCAAAAAUCAGAAAAUUAGUUGAAGUUCAUCAGUCAGAACAAAUAAAAUGAAUCUAACAUUGAAGAAAAAGGGAACAAAAGAUUCAUUUUUCGGCUUCACCUUGUUUUCGAUACCAGAAUCCUCUUCUAGAAUUGUGGAAGCAGCUGUGUUAGAGGUGUGAUCACCUCUGAAGGUUUCUUUCCACACACCAAUUUGGCGGAAUGGCUCGUAUAUCCCCAUUUGUCUUGAGGUGGCAAAUUGAGUUGAUGAAUAGCUCAUACUCUAUCAACAAAUUCAACAAACGAAACAAGUAAACAAAGAGAUUUCAUAACCACUCUGCUGCAAAUUCACAGCUCCAUGAAUAAGACCAAUAAAUAUGGCCCAUAGGUAUACGCAGAUAGAAUCGGUUACAAACUUUUAAUCAAAAACAUAACUGUGGUACGCCAAACAGACAAACUUGACUAGAAAAUGGCCUGAAAAUUCAGAAAUUUAAAACACAUAAGGUAACAAGCAAAAUCCAAACAAAUUAUAACUUGAAAUUGUCCUAAACUUCUAAGUUAACUACAGUAUCAGAAAGUUGGAUGAUUGGGAACCUUCAAAACUUGGAAACGAUUUGCAUGGUGAAGUAGAAGCCUCCACAAAAACCAGAAGAAACAUCAAAAAGCAAAGAUGAAGCAUGAAAACAUGAAAAGCUUACACUUUAAAUAACCACAAGAAGUGGAUAAAGAUCAGUAAAAAGUUGGGGAGGGAAGUAGAUAAUUGCUGCAGUAAUAUUAUACGAUGUAAACUCCUCGCAAGGAAAAAAAAAAAAAAAAAGAUGACUUCAUUUACCUUAUAGACAAUAACUUCAAAUUUCAAAACUUUGAGUCAUUCAAUCAGACCCAACAAAUUAAUCUUGAUUAAUUUCUUCAAAUGUGGGAAUUUGGAGGAAGAUGACGAAUUGGGUUUUCUGGGUUGGGCUGGGAGGACCCUGGCAAUUCAACACUCCCAUCGAUCAUUUGGGAAUCAUUUGUCACAAAAUUUCUCAGAGGCUUUUUAAGCACAAUUUUGCAGGAACCCAUGAGCCGUCUGUCCACCUUAAAAUAUUCAUUCUUUUCCCAAAGAGCAGUAAACGUUAACGUAGCAACAUCCCCACUAACGUCUUAUUCAUUACUUUUUUUUUUCCUUUUCUUUUGCUUUUGCCGAAAAAACAAAGAAAAGAAAAUUGAGCGAAAAAGAGGAGAAAUAAUUGUGUAUUUGGAAAUUUUUUUAUGGGUAGCACAUAGUGUAUCCUGAAUAUGCUAUAUUACAGUUUUAUGAUAUAUUAAUAAAAAAUAAAUUUAUUUGUUAUAAUUGGAGUGAAAUAAUAACGUCAAGUGACUGUAUUUUUAAUACAUGAAAAAGUUACUCGUGUGCUAGACAUACACAACGUAAGUUGGCUAAUGUGGUGUAUUGUACCUUGCCAAUAUAUAACUAGUAUGUUAUUAAAAUGUGAUUUUAUAGUUUGGCCCAUUUGAGGGACGUCAAAUUGAGCGACCAUGAAUCCAACCGAUGAGAUGUUAACACUCACAAGGAUUUUUUUUUGUUCAUUAAAAGAAAUUUUUUCAAACAGCCGGGUACUCCACAUAUUAUGAUAUAAGUAAAGUACAUAAUGAUUUUGCUAACUCAAGGAACAUAAAAAGAAGCGACUUUGAGUAUCACUAUCUAUGUAUUUGGUAUCCUACUCAAUUGAGUUGAUUUUAACUCAUCAUACACUAUUUUUUGGUUGGUAAAGAGAGCAUCACUGCAUCAAGUUAAAACCGACAUGCAAUACACCAUACAAAUGAUAUAAUACAUGUAGAUAGAUCAUAUUAUGAGUAUAAUUAUGUCACAUAAAUACAGUAAUAUUUCGGCAUGAAUGACGUCAGUUACUUUUGGAAGGACAGGUGGAAAAUUCUGGAUGGAUUGUGAAUGGAUUGGUGACAGGUGAGGAUAGAGAAGGCAAUGUAUGUACGUUUUAGAAGGGACCAGCGGCAGUUUUGUCAUUUCGAGAACAUGAGUUGGUGAAGUUGGGAGUACCGUCUGACUGUCUCAGGCUCUCCUUCGUACCAGAAGAAUUGUACCUGCGACUGCGAGAGGCUAGAAUUUCCAGCCACCAAAACCAAACAUGGAUGAUGAUGGAUGGGAUUUUUGUGUAUGGGAGAAAUAUUUUCGUUUUAAACUACGUUUGCAUGCUAAAAACUACAAAGUAACCAAAACAAAAUUUCAAGUACGAUUAAUCACAUUUAUAUGACGGUUUUGCUACUCUAGCACCUCAAGCACUAAUCAUUCAAUAACUUAACUAACCACUUAUUUAGGCACCACUUAUUUAGGCACACUUUAUAUAGUAAUUCAAGAUCUUAACCAUUUAUUUUAGAUCAAUCAUUCUUAUCACAUUUAUAUGACGGUUUUGCUAAUCAUUCAAUAACUUAACUAACCACUUAUUUAGGCACAUUUUAUAAAGUAAUUUCAAGAUCUGAACCAUUCAUUUUAGAUCAUCAUUCUUAGAUCAUACCUGUAAAAAAUCACUCAAAUUUGAAAUCGCUUAGUUGUCUAAUUAUUAUUUUGAACAUUUCAAUAUUUAUCGCCAAUAUUGUGUUCGUCUAUUUAUCAAGUCAAAAUUGGAGGGUUAAGCAUUUACUGAUUUUAGUGAUUUUUUGCAAAGUUGAUCUUUCAAUGAUAAACUAAAAUAAUGAUUCCUUCAGAUUAUGCGAAACAUAGUGAAGCAAGCCUAGAAGAGUGGCUAGCGUUUUAUUAAUUGAGUUAGCGCUUGAGUGUUCUUGAUUACAAUCAAUCUUGUAUUUGGUUUGGUAAUUUUCUCCCGAAAAUAGUUUCGAUUAUUUGAUUUGUAUCGUAAUAUGAUUUGUAGAGGAUCCGAUUAUAAUGGUUUUUAUCUUUAAAUAAAAUACAAAAUAAGGUAUUGGAAUAGUUUGUGAAAUUGUAUAUAAAAGAAUUCCAACUUAGAUCCUAGAAUGAUUAUUAUAAGGCUUGAAAAGUGAGAGCAUUUUUACUUGCAAGAAUGAUGGUAAGAAAUGUGUGUCAUUCUUAUUUAUGUCAUAUCUGAUAACAGUAUUGUAAGAACUAAUGGACUGCAGAAAAAUGAAGGAAAGGAAUGCAGUUGUAGAGAGAGAAAGAGAGCUAUGAAUUUCAAUAUAUUUCACCAAGUGAAUUACAAUGACAAUUUACACACUUAUAUAUAGCUCAAUAGUUGCCUUGCGCUCUAAGCUAUUAGCACCAACAACUCUAACUAAUAGCUGCAACAAUUCUAACAAAUUGCCACAUCAGCUAGCUAACAACCUUACUAACUGUUUUGCCAUAUCAAGACAACUAAUCAUUAGACAAUACUACCAUUCAGUCAAUACUAGGCAAUAUCCCCCCUCAAUCUUAACUUGGGUUGCCAAGUUUAAGAUUGUAAUAUUGCUUGACAAAUGAAGGACCAUGUAACCCCUUGGUUAGUAUGUCAACUGAUUGAUCUUCAGUAGGAAUGUAGCUAAGUUCCAAGUCACCUUGUUGCACUCUCUCUCGAAUAAAGUGGUAAUCGGUAUCCACGUGCUUUAUUCGAGAAAGAAACACUGGAUUUGCAUUCAAUGCAAUCGUAGACAUAAUGUCACAAUGAAUGACUGGAGACGUAGACAAAAAUAAUUCCAAAUCCUUCAAAAUAUGCCUGAUCUAGGCUAUAUCAGCAGCAAUAUGAGCCAAUGCUUUAUAUUCUGCUUCUGUAGAACUCUUGGAAACCAAACUUUGUUUCUUUGACUACCAAGAUAUGGGAUUGUUGCCAAGGAAAACAAUAUAUCCUGUGAAACCCCGUCCCAAACUAUGUAAUUUUAUAUUCACGAAUUUAUAAAAUCACCAUUUUUUUACCUCUUAUUCUUUACCCAACCCAGAUCCUAUUUUUGGAUUUUCUCCUAAUUCUCCUCCUCUCUCUGCCUGCCACGUGGCAGUUUCCUAUCUCCCUCUCUCUUCUUCUCUCUUUUCCCCGGAGACACACACACUCUCUAUCUCUCUCUCAGCUCAAACACUCUCUUCUCUCGCUCGAGCUCUCUCUCAGUUCACUCUCCCUCUCUCGCAGAUCUCUAUCUCUAUUCUCUCACCCUUCCGAUGAGACACGAACACACCCAAGGAACCACCACCAUCACCACCAUCGUGUUGGACCUUCUUCCUCUCUCUCCCUCUUCCUUUGUGGAGCACUGAGACACCCAGAGGCCACCCAAACCUCUCCGGCAAACUCGUGGCUUUCGAGCCAAAAUCUAACAGAAUCCAGCCACUCACAGCGUGAGACAGGUACAAAAUCUCUCCCUCUCAUCUCUACCUUCAUUUUAAUAGGUAGAUUGUAGGGUAAGGUGGUGAAUCAGCGUCGAUCGAAGCUCGGGAGGCUCCGGCCUACUUUCUCGACUAAAAAUGGGUCAGCUGACCCACACCUGGAAGCCCGGGUCCCCUAGCCUAGAGUUUUGGGUCAAGCUACCAAGCCCAACCCAACUAUUAGCCCAAACCCAAACCCUUUUAACCCAAGCCCAAAUCCCUUUGGACCUAGGCCUUUAGGCCUUACCAACUAGGGCCCUCGGCCCGUUGAACUUAAACCCAAACCCUUUGGACCCAAGCCCAAAGCUUAGGCCCAAACCCAACAAACCCUAGGCCUAAACCCAACUAACCCAGACCCCAAGUCGAGCGUGAAGGCUCGUGGGCGCAAGCGAAGGGUUGUUGGUGCCAGCCCGUGGAGCAUACGCAUCGCCUUCCACGGCAGCGUCAUCGACUUUUCCAGCCAACUUUUCGGCGACCUGUGGCAGUGAGUGAGAGUGCGUGUGGUAGCAUGUGGGAGUACUCGAGGUCCUCCCUUAUGUUUUUCAACAUCUUGAAUCCGUUUAUAACGUCCGUUUUCCGAAAAUCAAUCAUUAUGAUAGAGUUUUAUUAAUUGGACCCUUUAUGUGCUUAGGUGCGAUUAUUAGCGGCGAUUCCGUAUUUCCUAUUUUGCACGGCUCUUCGACGACAGUGUAUCUGUGAGUGGACCUCUUCUAAAACGCAUAUUUUACUAUUAGUAAUGCAUACAUGAAAAGCAUGAUUUAAAUGGUUACAUUUUAUGAAACGCUUCCUGAGUAAAUUAGAUUUACACUUCAUGAUUAUCAUGUUUUACUAAGAAUAUUUUGGAAUACCAUACUUUAUCGAAUUUAUGUUCUUUGUAGUAUAUAUGAUGGAUGACUAUAUACUAUAUAUGAACAUAUUUUUACACUCUUUGUAGUAUAUAUGAUGAAUGACUAUAUACUAUGAAGAUGUUUUGAGAUGUAUGUACUUACAUGGGAAAGAUUAUAUUCAAUAUUUUUGUGCUUAUCUAGUGGUCACUGUUCUGCCUACGGGCGAUGAUACUUAUAUUGGCUUCGGUUGGGUGAUGUAGUGGCCUACGGGUCGGAAGAUAUUCAUAUAUUUGGCCUAUGGGUCGGGUGAUAUAGUGGCUUUGGUCGAUUAUGAUACCACUAUUUAGCACAUUAUAUACGAUAUAUAUUUUAUGGAAGAUUUUAUGGCAUGCUAGGGUUUUUCGGAAAACCUAUUACAUAUUAUACUAUUGAGUUUCUAUAAAACUUUAGGGGUUAGCACGUUGUUGAAUAACUGUUUUAGUAUUAUAUAUCAACUUGGUCCACUCAUGUUUGUUUUGCGCCCCCUCAGGACAUAGGAACGAGGCAUAUGAUCCAAGCUACGAGGCAUUCCCCUACCAGUGAUAUCUUAUCAUCCUCUCUGCUUUGACACCAUUGUAAUAGCACAUUCCGCUUGUAUUCUGAAUUAGAUAUAUGCUCUGAACAUGUCAUGCAUUAUCACUAUCUUUUUUUGACAUUUGAAUAUUACUUUGCGUAGUUCGCGCGAAAUUUAUAUGCAUGUUUCACAUGUUCUCGGCAUAUGCAUUUAUUAAAUGACUUUCAUCAUGCUCAGGUGUCGGCCAUCACGUGACCAUCCUGAUGUCCCCCAGACAUCGGGAUCAGGGCGUGUCAUAUCCAAUCACAGAUCUUCGAGUAUUCAAACAUGCGGCCCAAUCUAAGUCUGAGAAAGUAUUAAGAGUUGGGUCUGCAUCCGAUGAAUACACAAUACCAUUCUUCAAUGUUCCUUGAAGAUAUCUCAGUGUUUGUUUCACAACCCCAAGAUGAAUAUCAGUUGGUGUUUUCAUAAAUUGACAUAUUGAAUUUAUUGCAAAUGUUAUAUCUGGCCUAGUGAAGGUUAAAUAUUGCAAGGAUCCAAUUAUACUUCUAUACAAUGUAGGAUCAUUGAAGGGAAUUCAUUUUGUCACUAACAAUGAGUUGUGUGGUUUACAUGGUGUUGAUGCAUGUUUGCAAGAAUCCAUACCAACUUUAUGGAUUAAGUCUUUAAUAUACUUUGACUGGUUGACAAAGAUGUCACCACUUGGUUGAUAUGUAAUUUGAAUACCCAAAAAAAUAGGUAAGUUUACCUAGAUCCUUUAAGUCAAACACUUCAAAUAACUCAUGAAUAACCUGAUGUACUUAUAUAGACUUGGAACCUAUCAAAAUGAUAUCAUUAACGUAAAGAAGAAGUAUGAUGAUAUCAGCCCCAUCUUUCUUCAUAAGAAAGCUUGUAUCAGACAUGGAACACAGAAUCCCAUAGCAUUCAAAUAGCUUGUAAAUUUAGAGUUCUAGGCCCUUGGUGACUGUUUAAGGCCAUAUAGGGAUUUGAUGAGUUUACAAACAUGAUCAGAACAAAAAGAGUCAAUAAAACCCUGAGGUUGUUUCAUAUAAACCUCCUCUUGCAAAUCUCCAUGUAAGAAUGCAUUUUUAAUGUCUAACUGUUUUAAUUCCAAUGGUUCAUUGCAGCCACUGCAAGAAUAAUCCUCAUUGUUGUGUGUCUAGCAACAAGACUAAAAGUAUCAAAGUAAUCAAUUUCAUACUCCUGAGAAAACCCUUGAGCAACCAGCCUAGCUUUGUAUUUGGAAACACUGUCAUCAGGAUUUUUUUCACCCUGUACACCCAUUUACUACCAACAAUUGACUUAUCAAUAGGAGAUGGAACCAAUAUCCAAGUACUUUGUGCCCUGAAAGAGUCUUAUUCUUCUUGCAUAACAUUUUGCCAAUGUGAUAUACUUGCAGCUUUUCGAAAAUUGGAUGGUUCUGUGUUAUCAGUAAUCUCAGUGACAAAUGAAUAUGUCACAUCCCAGUUUUGGUUCCGCCGUAGCACGAUAUUGUUCGCUUUGAGCCCCGGCCACGCCUUCACGAUUUUGUUUCUGGGAACUCACACGAGAACUUCCCAGUGGAUCACCCAUCCUGGGAAUGCUCUCGCCCGAACUCGCUUAACUUCAAAGUUCCAAUGGAAUCCGAAGCCAGUGAGUUCCCAAAAGUCCUUGUGCUAUAUAGAGGUGGGCAUGUACAUAUAAAUCACAUCACCCGUUCUCUGUUGGUCGAUAUGGGAUGGUACAAUCCACCCCCAUUAGAGGCCCAACAUCCUCGUCGGCACAUUCACACCGAACGACAGAGUGGCUCUGAUACCAUUUUGUCACAUCCCAGACUGGCUCUGCCGUAACAUGAUAUUGUCUGCUUUGGGCCCCGGCCACGCCCUCACUGUUUUGUUUCUGGGAACUCACACGAGAACUUCCCAGUGGGUCACCCAUCUUGGGAAUGCUCUCGCCCGAACUCACUUAACUUCGGAGUUCCAAUAGAAUUCGAAGUCAGUGAGUUCCCAAAAGGCCUCGUGCUAUAUGGAGGUGGGCAUGUACAUAUAAGCCACAUCACCCCCUUUCCGUUAGUCGAUGUGGGAUGUUACAAAAUAACCACCAGAGAAUGGUUUAUCUUUAGUGAUUUGUAAGGUUUUCAAUUCUGGAAAAAUUGCAAGAUAUAUCGCAUAAUUUUCCUCUUAAUAGUCCCACUUUUCAAUCUUGUAACCAUGGAAUGAUGAGGAAGUGAAUCUUUAGCUGUUACAUGAUGUUUAGAAUUUACAUUCAAUUGAGAUGAGAAUGGAAGAAUUACCUUAAGUUGAGAACUGUGAUGGACAUGCAUUAAAGGUGAUUUGUUUGUUGUAGGAGUAGAGUGAUGGUGAUGAGAAGUUGAUUAUAAAGAUAACUGCUGCAUAUUUGAAGCACUGAGAGGUGAACUAGAAACUGGCAAAUCCCCAAUAUCAAACCCUUGUUGCAUAUUUGAAAAUUGUUGUUGAGAAGUAUUCCCUGACAAGGAUUCUGUUUGUAAUUCCUGAAUCGAAACACUAUUUGAUGGUGGUACCUGAUCAUGAAUUGCAGGAAUUGGCAUUUGAAUCACAACAGUAUUAAUUCUUGCAUUCUAUUACUGUAUAGAGACAUUAGAAUCUUGAACUAGUGCAGUCUAUAUGGAAAUUCAUCUUCAUUGUGAAUUACAUGUCUUGACAGAACCAACAUUUUGUUCUGCAAAUCAUAACAGAUGGCUCUUUUAUACCCCAAAGCAUAUCCAAGGAAAACACAUUUGGAAGAUCUAGCUUGAAGCUUAUUCACAGUGUAUGGUCCCAGAAGAGGAUAAAUUGCAAUCCCAAAAACUUUGAAAUUAUGAAUAUCUGGAAUUUUACCAAAUAAAAGUUGAUAUGGAGAUUUCGAAUCCAAGCAUUUAGAUGGCAUUCUAUUUAUUAAUAGCACUGCAUGAGAACAAACAUGAUACCAAAACACUUGUGGCAAGCUUGCUUCUGUCAAUAAAGUAAUAACAGUCUCUAUGACAUGUCUAUGUCUCUUUUCAGCAAUUCCAUUUUGCUAAGGAGUAUAUGGGUAUGAGACCAUAUGUGUAAUACCUUUUCUUGCUACAAAUUCCUUAAACACUUUACUCAUAUACUUAACUCCACCAUCAGAUUGAAAACAUUCAAUUGAAGCAUUAAACUGAUUAAGCACAAAGCAGUAAACUUGACAAAGAUUGGAAAAGCGUAUGAUUUAUUUAUCAUAGAAAAUAUCCACAUGAAUCUUAAAAACUCAUCUACAAAUGUUAUGUAGUAUUUAUACCCUUCUACAGACUGUGUUGGAGAUAGCCCCCAUACAUCAAAGUGGACUUUCUCAAACAGAAAACUAGCCCUAUCAUGUCUAACAGGAAACAAUUGCCUACACAUUUUCCCUUUAAUACAAAAGGAACACAUAUUUGACAUGAAUCUUUACAAACUGUAAUAUCAGCCCUCUUCAACAUUGAAACCAAGACUUCCUUAUAUGGAUGUCCUAGCCUUUGAUGCCAAAUUGUAGCUCUCAUUUUUUGUCCCAAGAAUGCAGCACAUUUACUCAAACUUAAAGCAAAAGAAUUAGCAAACACAUUCACUAGAAUCUUGAAGAGUUCCCCACCAUCACUCAUUCCUUGGUACAAAAUCACCCUUGUUGCCUUGUCCUAUAUAAAGAAAUCCACAUCAUCACAAAUAAACCAACAUCCAUUAUCUUUGCAUAAUUUCUUAACAGAAAUAAGAUUCACAUUUAUUUGAGGCACAUUUAAAACAUCAUGCAAUAUCAAAGCAUUUGAAGGAGUAAUAAUGGAUAAGGAACCAAUAUGCUUGACUGCCAAACCUUCACCAUUUCCAAUAAUGAUUUUCUCAUCUCCAUUGUAAGGAUUGACUUGAGAUAGAGCAUUGGCAUUUGUUGUCAUAUGGUGUAUAGCACCAGUAUCCAGGAUCCAUGCAUCACCAUUUGAAAAACUAUGUCCAUUGUUCUGAAGACUCUUCCCAUUUCCAGAUAAAUUAUCACUAGUGUUCCCAUUACCAUUCUUGUUACAAAAGUUGCUCGAAAAAGAUCUUGAAUUGUUGUUAUUGCUCCCUUUAUACUUCAUAUCCCCCCCCCCCACCCCAGAGAAGUUAUUCAUUUGAAAAGACUUGUUUCCAUUCCCCAUGAAAUCAGAUCCUCCUUGAAACCCAGAUUGACAACCAUGUGAUUGACUUUACCCUUCUUUACUUAUCAUGAUAGAUUGGCUAAACAAAGGAAAAAAUAAAAAAAGAAAUCGCAUUGAAAUAUAUUUUUACUGACUAAUCAGAAUUGCUCCCUUCAUAACCACCUUGAUACCUUUGUGAAUUAGAGCUCUCACCAAUUUCAAAACCAUUGUAACCACCUUGAAAUCCAUUGGAACUAGAUCAUUCUCCUUGAACAUACAUUGCUGCCAUAGAUGUGCUCAGAGAUUUCAUCCUUAACUCAAUACUUGCUUCUGCUCCAAGAAGUUGAGCAUUCAUAUCUUUAUAUGAUAUAGUUGAAUCCCUAACAAGUAUUACAAUUUUAAUCAUCUCAAACUCAGGUGGUAAUCCAGACAAAACAGCUAUAAGAAAGUCAUUCUCAAUAAUCUUUUCUCCAGCAGAUACAAGUUGAUCUAUGAUAGCCUUGACUCUUGGAAGAAAUUUAUUUACUGAUUCCCCACCCUUCUGAAUGGUGUGAAAUUCACUUUUCAACUGAUUGAUUCGCACCAUGGAAACAUAUGCAAGUCUUUCUUGUAGACAAGUCCAAGCCUCAUGAGAAAUCUUGCAACCAAUUAUAUGCUCCAUAGCAUCAUCAGGCAAAGUAGCUAGAGUAAACUAAGCAAGGCCAAAUCUUUCUUUACCCAAUCUUUGUAAGCCGAAGUGACCUCUUUUGUAACUCAUGUCUCUGUAUUGAUCACAAAUCUUGGAGGACAUGGAGCUUCUCUAGUGAAGUAAUCGAAAAGAUCAUAGCCUCUAAGAACUGACUGAAACUGAAAACUCCACUUGACAAAAUUGUCAUCUUGUAACUUUACUUUGAGCAUACCAAGUAACCCUUCAAUCUUUACAGUUGAUUCUGCCACUUGAAUGCAAUCACAACUAAUCUUGAUCAAACAAUUCUUCUUUCGUCAUAGAAAACUGUGUUCUUGAAUAUCAAGAACAAAAUCACAAAUUUCUCAAUAAACCACUCUUUGGCUAUCGGCCUUUUUCGAGUGAAAAAUAACAAUCUUCAAAACUUUAACAAGUUGGCUAUUGACUUUGCAAUCUUUCAUAAAAUGGCUAUCGGCCCUUCAAUCUUGAACAAAAAUUACAGACAUUUUCUUACUGAAGCAUCAAAACAAAUAGUUGGUGUGCACAGUAAAAUCAGAAACGAAGACUUGAUAUACAGUGCAAUCUUGAACCUCGACGAUCAAGAACUUCGAUUAACCAACAAAGAACCUUUAAUAAGCAAAGAACUUUGAUCAAUCAAGAGAAAUUGCAUAGCGGAAUUGGCACCGAGGAUCGACGGGCGAGUUAUACCAUGAUAACAAUAUUGUAAGAACUAAUGGAUUGCAGAAAAAUGAAAGAAAUGAAUGCAGUUGUAGAGAGAGAAAGAAAGCUAUGAAUUUCAAUAUAUUUCACCAAGUGAAUUACAAUGACAAUUUACACACUUAUAUAUAGCUCAAUAGCUACCUUGCGCUCUAAGCUAUUAGCAUCAACAACUCUAACUAAUAGUUGCAACAAUUCUAACUAACUGCCACAUCAGCUAGCUAACAACCUUACUAACUGUUUUGCCAUAUCAGCACAACUAAUCUUUAGACAAUGCUACCCUUCAAUCAAUAUUAGGCAAUAAUAUCAUGCGUUUAAUUAUUGAGAAUCAAAAAGUACAAUAGAGUAACUCAUAAUCUUCCCAGCUUGAGGAGAGGUCUAUAAUUGGUUGUCUUCUCUCUUGGCUGAUGAUUUAAAUGCGGCUUUACUUAAUCAAACUACGUAUUCAUGUAGAGUAAUGCUAAGGAGACAAAAUUUGUAGACAAAAUUUUUGAAAACUAAAGGACAUUGAAGUUGAUGAUUGGUUUAUUACUUACACAUCAUUUAGUUUACAAAUUUAAUCUCCAAAUUUAGUCUCACUGGAAUUACCCAUUCAUGCAUCACGUUACAUCUACAUGAUAAUAUUUCACGUACAUUUUAGCAUAUUAUUGUUCCACACAAAAUAUACAGCACAAUACUCCAUGCUUGAAAGUUGAAACAUAUACUGUUAGUUAAGUUAUUAGCAUGCAUACUGCAUAAUAUUAGUGAUUGAGGUGAUUUGGUAUGAGGAACCUCUGGAUUUAGUUGUAGAUGCUUUGUUAGAGGAUAGUGCUACAUAGCUUUCUUUCAAGUAUUUGAUGUAUUUGGUGACCCCUUCUUUCCUUGAUUUCGGGUUGGUAGACCCGACAAGGCCUUUUCAAGGGUCACUCUCUUUUAUUCUGCUAUCCUCUGGUCAUGGUUCCUUAUUCUCAAUAAUAUUGUAUAUUUGAUAAAAAAACAUAUAGUAUUGAAGAUUACCAAAUACUUUCCGACAACAAAUUUCCCAGCUUAUCAAUCUAAAGGAACACAACAGGGAAAAACAAGUAGAUAAUUAAAAUGAAGAAAGAUGGUACUUUCCCAUCAACUAGGAAGCAAUACACACACACACACAUAUACCACGGUAAUAAGAAAGUUGAGGUUUCACCUUAAACCAAUUGGCAAUAUGAAGAGUAGUCUAGAUCACACACGGCGAAUUUCAAGCUUAACACGUGGAUAACACAACGGAAUGACAUGGAGCACUUGUGGUUUUUUGGCUUCACAUGUAAGACAACUUGCUCUGAUACCAUAAAGAAAGUUAAGGUUUCACCAUAAAACCAAUUUGCAAUAUGAGGACUAGCCCAACCUCUUAUAAGCUCAUGCAAGAUUCAUUUUUUCAUCAAUGUGGAACCCGGGCAAUAGGUGUAACUUAAGUGAGCCUUUUGCCAAAGGGGAAUGUAUACAUUACGUGCAUUCACAAGCAAUUGCAUGGCUUAGUCAGUUUUUAAUUAACUUUGAGGAAGCGUAAACACACUCGGUUGCUUGGGGUUACGUAAUAAGUUUAGAAUAAUGAGUAUCUAACAUUUAUUUUGUUCAACUGUAAAUUUGAAUGAUUGUUCGUAUAAUCUUAACAUACAUACCAUCGAAAUUCACAAUACCCAUCAGCAUAAAAAUUUGCCUACUUAGCAACAUAAAUCUAACAAAAUAACAUUACCCUACGCAACUUGUUGAAAUAUUGGCUUUCAUAUUCUAUUGUUUUUUGGGUCUGGUAGAGCAUGAUGGUGCACUGCCACCGUGUAUGCCAUGCAAGACAAAGAAAUGCUGCGUCAACUUAGCACAGACAAUGCAAGAAAAAAGCAGGAAUAAGCCAAAAUAAAAAGAAAGAUAAAUAUAUAGCGAAGUGAUACUUGGCCAUUUGGUAAUGUGGUCUCUCUUUUACAUGAUAGCCACUAGGUUGAUCACCAAUUAUUGAGGUGCAAUACUCAAAUCAUUGGUUCAAAAUAAUACUAAUUACCACAACUAAUCAUCAAUUAAUUAGGUAGCCUUAUACAAAUAGAUUUUUCUCUAAUUAAUUUAAGAACUUUCUGUGUUCAUACUGUGUUAAAUUAGCCAAUAUAAUUUCACUUUACAGUAGUUUAAGGUUUGUAAAGUUAUUAGGUUAAUCUAUAAUAUAAGGGGAGAUUAAUUAAACAAAUACACAACUGAAACAAUUAUAGCGAGAUACUAUAAGUUUUGAUAAGUAUAAUUAAAGGAGUUUUUACCCAGCUUUAUUUUAAAUUAAAAAAAUUAUAUAUGUAGUUCGAGUGGAUAAAAAUGUUUACUUACGACUCAGUCGAUGUUCAACAUUCUCGAGUCUCUUCUCUUAACAUCGGUAGUAUUGUAAGGUUGAACAAAAAUAUCACCAAAUCUAGCUAAUAUCUACAAUAAGGAUCUGCUGUUGCCAUCACAUAUCAUAAACAAAUUUUUUAAGUAAUUUAAAAUAUGAAACUGGCAAAUCUUGAGCUAGCACGCAGGUGUUUUGGGUACACGGAAUUCAGUUUUAAAACGAAGAGACAGCCAUGCAUCAUCUUCAUCCAUAUAACUGUACAAAGGUAGCUAGGACCUAGUUUGGGAGUGAGGUGCUUCAAAAAAAAGCACCCAUGAAAAAAAGCUGCGAGGGUUUUAGGUGUUUGGUAAACUGAAAAAAAAGGGCUUAUUUUGGAAGCUGCUGUGAGAAUAAGCUGAAAUCAAAGGAAAAAGCUGAAGCUGCUAUUUGCAGCUUUGGAAAACUGGCUUUUUUUCAAAGCACACGGAGCUACAGUGCUUCUUUAAUGAAAAGAUCCCCUAUUAGACUGCUUUUUUUUUUUCCAAAAGCACUUUUACAAAAAAGUUUACCAAAC
rnacentral:lncRNA from 1 species